UGAGGAAUUUUGCGCAAUGGGAGCAAUCCUGACGCAGCAACGCCGCGUGGGUGAUGAAGGCCUUCGGGUCGUAAAGCCCUGUCAGGUGGGAAGAAUGUCCCGGGACUGAACAGGUUUCGGGAGUGACGGUACCACCAGAGGAAGCACCGGCUAACUCCGUGCCAGCAGCCGCGGUAAUACGGAGGGUGCGAGCGUUAUUCGGAAUUACUGGGCGGAAAGCGCGUGUAGGCGGUCCCGCAAGUCUGAUGUGAAAGCCCCGGGCUUAACCCGGGAAGUGCAUUGGAAACUGUGGGACUUGAGUACUGGAGAGGAUGGGGGAAUUCCCGGUGUAGAGGUGAAAUUCGUAGAGAUCGGGAGGAAUAUCAGUGGCGAAGGCGCCCAUCUGGACGGUAACUGACGCUGAGACGCGAAAGCGUGGGGAGCGAACA
rnacentral:rRNA from 1 species